rnacentral:rRNA from 1 species
UACGUAGGGCGCAAGCGUUGUCCGGAAUCAUUGGGCGUAAAGGGUGCGUAGGCGGUCUGCUAAGUUUGAUGUGAAAUCCCGGGGCUCAACCCUGGAAUUGCAUUGAAUACUGGUGGACUAGAGUACCGGAGAGGAAACUGGAAUUUACGGUGUAGCAGUGAAAUGCGUAGAGAUCGUAAGGAAGACCAGUGGCGAAGGCGAGUUUCUGGACGGUAACUGACGCUGAGGCACGAAGGCCAGGGGAGCAAACGGG